rnacentral:rRNA from 1 species
GCGGUGAGUAUGUGGUUUAAUUCGAAGCAACGCGAAGAACCUUACCAGGUCUUGACAUCCCGAUGCUUAUUUCUAGAGAUAGAAAGUUACUUCGGUACAUCGGUGACAGGUGGUGCAUGGUUGUCGUCAGCUCGUGUCGUGAGAUGUUGGGUUAAGUCCCGCAACGAGCGCAACCCCUAUUGUUAGUUGCCAUCAUUCAGUUGGGCACUCUAGCGAGACUGCCGGUAAUAAACCGGAGAAGUGGGAUGACGUCAAAUCAUCAUGCCCCUUAUGACCUGGGCUACACACGUGCUACAAUGGUUGGUACAACGAGUUGCGAGUCGGUGACGGCGAGCUAAUCUCUUAAAGCCAAUCUCAGUUCGGAUUGUAGGCUGCAACUCGCCUACAUGAAGUCGGAAUCGCUAGUAAUCGCGGAUCAGCAUGCCGCGGUCGAAUACGUUCCCGGGCCUU